CUACGGGUCGCACCAGUAAGGAAUAUUGCGCAAUGGAGGCAACCCUGACGCAGCCAUGCCGCGUGCAGGAAGAAGGCCUUAUGGGUCGUAAACUGCUUUUAUUUAGGAAUAAACCCCCGAACGUGUUCGGGGCUGAAGGUACUAAACGAAUAAGCACCGGCUAACUCCGUGCCAGCAGCCGCGGUAAUACGGAGGGUGCAAGCGUUAUCCGGAUUUAUUGGGUUUAAAGGGUGCGCAGGCGGGCUAUUAAGUCAGUGGUGAAAUCCCGGGGCUCAACUCCGGAACUGCCAUUGAUACUGAUAGUCUUGAGUUUGGUUGAAGUGGGCGGAAUGUAGCAUGUAGUGGUGAAAUGCAUAGAUAUGCUACAGAACACCAAUCGCGAAGGCAGCUCACUAAGCCAAAACUGACGCUCAUGCACGAAAGCGUGGGGAUCAAACAGGAUUAGAUACCCGCGUAGUC
rnacentral:rRNA from 1 species